rnacentral:rRNA from 1 species
UACGGGGGGUGCGAGCGUUGUCCGGAAUCACUGGGCGUAAAGGGCGCGUAGGUGGUCUGAUAAGGGUGUGGUGAAAGCCCGGGGCUCAACCCCGGGUCGGCCGUGCCGACUGUUGGACUAGAGUGCUGUAGGGGCAGGCGGAAUUCCGGGUGUAGCGGUGGAAUGCGUAGAGAUCCGGAGGAACACCAGUGGCGAAGGCGGCUACCUGGCCUAAUACUGACACUGAGACACGAAAGCGUGGGGAGCAAACAGG